rnacentral:rRNA from 1 species
UAGAGAAAAAUUUACUUUAGUUGUUUGAGAGGUUAAUUUUAUUAAUAAAAUCAUUUUUAAUGUAAUAAGUUUUUGUAUAGGUUAUAGAUAAAAUUGUAUUAGUGAUAGUUGAAUUGUAUUGUGAAAGAUUAUUGAAAUAUUUGAAAAUUUAUUUUUUUGAAAGUAGGUUUAAUUUACUGUACCUUGUGUAUCAGGGUUUAUUAAAAAUUUUGUAUGUAUUUAUUUAUCCCGAUUUAAAGAGAGCUAAGUGUCUUUGUUAGUUAAUGUAGAAUAAUUAUUAAUUAAAUAUACUUAGUAAUGAAAUGUUAUCCGUUCUUUAAGAUAUCUGGUUUUUCAAGAAAUGAAUUUAAUUCAGUUAUUACAUUUUAUUAACUUGAUUUAUUAGGUUGGUAUAGUGUGAUAAAAAUAUUUGGGGGGAUAAGCUUCUGAGUAUUAAUUUAUAAAAUUAAAAUUUAAUUAAGAUUUUGUAGGCUUAGAAUUAGCCAUCAAUUGGAGGAUGUUAUAAUUUAUUUGUAAUUAAAUAUGAUUUUGUAAAAUAUUUAAAUUUUUUAUUGAAAUGUAAUUUAAAAUUAGUUAAAGUUAGUAAUAAUGAUGAAAUUAGUAUAAUGUAUUGUCUAUUUUUAUAAAACUGUUAGGUUUCAUUAAGGAAUUCGGCAAAUUAAUGCUCGCCUGUUUAACAAAAACAUGUCCUCAUGUGAAUAAUUUGAGGUCUGGCCUGCCCACUGAAUUAAUUUAGUUUAAAGGGCCGCGGUAUUUUGACCGUGCAAAGGUAGCAUAAUCAUUAGUCUUUUAAUUGGAGGCUGGAAUGAAUGGUUGGACGAGGCAUUGACUGUCUCAGUGAAAAUGUUAUUAGAAUUUAACUUUUAAGUCAAAAGGCUUAAAUGAUUUUAAAGGACGAGAAGACCCUAUAGAGCUUUAUAUUAAAUAAUUAUAACUAAUUUAGAUGUUUUUUAGUGGUAGUUAAUAAAAUAUUUUGUUGGGGUGACAGGAAGAUAAAAUAAACUCUUUUGAUUUUUUUACAUUAAUUUAUGAGUAAUUGAUCCAUUAUUAGUGAUUAUAAGACUAAGUUACCUUAGGGAUAACAGCGUAAUCUUUUUUGAGAGUUCUUAUCGACAAGAAGGGUUGCGACCUCGAUGUUGGAUUAAGGGUAAUUUUGGGUGUAGAUGUUCAAAGUUUAGGUCUGUUCGACCUUUAGAUCCUUACAUGAUCUGAGUUCAGACCGGCGUAAGCCAGGUCGGUUUCUAUCCUUAAUAAAUAUUGAUGUUUUAGUACGAAAGGACCAAAUAUUGGGAAUAAUGUUUCUUUAAAAAUUGAUUUAUAUUAAUAG